rnacentral:misc_RNA from 1 species
UACGAAGGGUGCUAGCGUUGUUCGGAAUUACUGGGCGUAAAGGGUACGUAGGCGGUUUAGUAAGUUGAUUGUGAAAGCCCUGGGCUCAACCCAGGAAUUGCAGCCAAAACUGCUUUGCUAGAGUUUAGUUGGGGAUAGUGGAAUUCCUAGUGUAGGGGUGAAAUCCGUAGAGAUUAGGAGGAACACCAGUGGCGAAAGCGACUAUCUAAGCUAAUACUGACGCUAAGGUACGAAAGCGUGGGGAGCAAACAGG